rnacentral:lncRNA from 1 species
AUUUAAUGAACAGAGGAGGUGAGAAACCAGCCUGGUCCCUCAGAGGACAUUCCUCUGUGAGCUGACUCCAUUGUAACAGAAGCCCUCCACCCAGUGGCGUGUACCUGUCACACUGCGGUCAAAUUGGCUUCUUGAUCCCAAAUCAUUGCUGUUUUCAGACUGGUCACAUGCGUGUUGCUAGGCCUUAGAGAGCCACUAACCACCCUGUGUUGUCCUGGUUACAGUUUUCAGGGUACUAAGUAAGGAUUGCCUAGGCUCUCUGGAAGGGUAGAGAUGUUACCUCCUGUCCCCUGUGUUACUGUGGCAUUUGUGGAGGCAUGAGGGUCAUCCCAGGACUGGGGUAGGGGUUACCUCGAGUGCACUUAUAUACGAGGACUGAGCCACCCUGCUAGGUGCCUGCAACUGUGCCUGGAAAGAUGGGCUUUCUAGGAAGGCGCUGUGGAAGAAGCCCUGCUGAGCCACAGGCUGUGGGAGGACCCUGCCCCACAGGUGGCUACUUUGAAUCAGAAGAUGAGUGCCCUGUGUCAGUUACUGAAGCUAGCCCCAUGUGGGUCUCUGGUGAGUGUAUCAAAUAACUAGAAAAAAGCAAGAGACAGGAAACCCAGUUGUUUAUAAGUGAUACUAGGUAGCAGUUCCUGAGACACUGACCAUAAAAGAGGUGAGGUCAGUUGGUGUUCUCGGCUGUGCCUGUGGAUCUUGGCUAGUGAUGGUUGUGCAGGAGUGUCCAUUUCUCUAAGUCUCAGGUGCUUGAUUAUGGUGUCUACUGGCUAUGGCCAUUGGUCAGAGGUCACUUUUUUUGUUUCCUUUUUUGAGACAGGGUUUCUCUGUGUAGCCCUGGCUGUCAUGGAACUCUGUAGAACAGUCUGGCCUUGAACUCAAGGAUCCACCUGCUUCUGCCUCUUGGGUGCUGGUAUUAGAGGUGUGUGCCACCACCACCUAACUAAAAGCUCACACUUAUUUUCAGGAAAUUGGGUUGGUGCUGUUGCUGCCACACCUUAGGGAGAGCAGGGCCUAGGGGCUACCAAGUAGCAGGAGACUUGAUGCCAAGGGCAGACAGGAACCCAGGUUCGCUGUCAGCGGGUGGAGAAGGUUAGCGACUUAGGUUUGUAUUUGGGACAUUGGUCUAAUGUCGCAUAUUUGGUUACUGAGUUUCACUCACUGCUGAAUGAUUACCACAGGCAAGUCACUGACUUGGGUUCUGAGCUGCAGAGGCGUGUGAUCUCUGACUCCCACUCGGGCUUUGCUGAGAAUCGCCUCUUGUUACCUCUAGCCCUCUCCUAACAUGGAGAGGGAAGGGAGGGCUGUUCUCCAUCCACAUGGACACCAUAGGCAUAUCUUAGCUCUCGGAGUGUGGUCAUGAGAACCCCAGAAGUCUGACGCCAGCUGUGCCUUAGCCCUUGCUCUGGGGUCCUCAUCCCUUCAGGCCAUGCCUGUGUCUUGCUGAGGUCCCCAGAGGUCAUCUUCCAGCUUGAGACUCUCCAGGUUUGGCCCACAUGCCUAGUAGGUGGAUGUGGCACUACCUGGGCUCUCUACCCCACCAUAAGUCAAAACCAGGAGCAAGAGAGGAGACAGUGCACUGGGCUCAGUAGCAAGUGUGAGGGAGUCCUUCCGUCUGUUUCUGAAUAUUGUGAAAUGUCCCAUUGUAGAACAGACCACGUUGGCUUAGCAAUGAAAGUGCCCUUUUGUCAGCUCAGUACAUGAAGAGGGAUGUAUCUAACAGCACUAAUGCCACACCCAUUGACAGAAUGGGUCAAUAACUUCUGUGACCGAAUGAAAAAUGUGGUUUGCAUCUUAUGGAUGAGGAGGUAGCCAGACCCAAAAUUGUUCCUGCUUCCAAUCUGCAACCUAAUAGACAAAUUUAAUUACUGUCAGAGGUCAGAACCAUAUCGUAGUUGGGGAUGGAUUUAAAAAGGUAGCAGAUUAGUUCUCUAACUCCAGAAAUGCCUCUGGGACCAAGAAUGGCCCACAAAAUAGGUUUUCUGUUGGAACACUUACUAUCAGGUAAUAAUUUCUGUUUGUCCUGUGUUUUGUUAACAGUUUUUCUUCCGUUUUGAAUUGAGGUUUUAAAAUUUUUAAUGUUUAUGGGUGUUUUAUCUGCCUGUGUCUAGUCACAUUCAUAUCAAGGCAACAGAGCCAGAAGAGGGUGGCAGAUGCCCUGGAACUAAAGUGACAGAUGGUUAUGAGCUGUCAUGUUCACCAUGCUGGGUAUUGAAACUUGGCUCAUAAUCACUGAGCCAUCUCUUCAGCUCCCCUGCCCCAAAGCAAUAAAGUUUGAGUUUAUUAAAAGAUU